GUGAGGAAUUUUCCGCAAUGGGCGAAAGCCUGACGGAGCAAUGCCGCGUGAAGGAUGAAGGCCUAUGGGUUGUAAACUUCUUUUCUUAGAGAAGAAUAUUGACGGUAUCUGAGGAAUAAGCAUCGGCUAACUCUGUGCCAGCAGCCGCGGUAAGACAGAGGAUGCAAGCGUUAUCCGGAAUGAUUGGGCGUAAAGCGUCUGUAGGUGGCUUCAAAAGUCUCCUGUCAAAGAUCAGGGCUUAACCCUGGGCCGGCAGGAGAAACUCUGAGGCUAGAGUUUGGUAGGGGCAGAGGGAAUGCCCGGUGGGGCGGUGAAAUGCGUAGAGAUCGGGAGGAGCACCAAAGGCGAAAGCACUCUGCUGGGCCACAACUGACACUGAGAGACGAAAGCGAGGGGAGCAAAAGGGAUUAGAAACCCCAGUAGUCC
rnacentral:rRNA from 1 species